CGGAGACUACAGCUCCCAGCAUGCAGUGCUUGGGAUCCGCGCCGGUCCUGUGCGGUCCGCCCUUGGCUGCAGUGGCUUCUUAAGCCUUUGAUGAUUGUACCAGCUUAUGGAUGUGACAGGGAAAGUGACUGAUCUUCGAUCAAUCUUGCAUAGUGGUCAUUGAAGUAGCUGCUAAGGUUUUAUUUAUUCGUGAGAGACACAUAGAGGCAGAGACAUAGGCAAAGGGAGAAGCAGGCUGCCUGCGAGGAACUCCUGUGGGACUCUAUCCCGGGACUCCAGGAUCAUGACCUGAGCCGAAGGCAGACACUCAAAAACUGAACCACCCAAGUGUCCCUAAUGUAAACUGUUUCUGACCUUUUCUCAUGGGACAGAAAAUAAUGCAUUUGCCAGAUUGAUUAUCACAUUCCAGAUACCUGAGCUCCAAUGAACCUGCUCUAGCACGGAUACCACAUCUGGCACACCAGCUGUAACUGGUGCUACUUGGACCUCUUGGUGCCUGUGAGCUGCUAUGACCCUUUGAGGUCCUCAAGUGUAAAGGGAGUUUAUGACCCUUUGGGUCUCUGAGUAUCAACAUCAACUCAGACCUCUGUCUAAUAGUCCUCAAAAUGUUUAGCUGUUCCCCUUUCAUCAGUAUGGUCACCUGAGUAAGUGGCCAUGGGUCUCUGGGGAAAUUGUCAUGGUAUAGACUUGCCACAGUGUUGCAAUGUCCUUCUUCCCUAGGGAACUGUUGGAUUCUGGGUCUGGUAACCUACUCAGGUCUGGGGACUGGAGCAAGGGACUGUGUUACUUUUUUUAGGACAAUUGCCCUUAGCUACUUCCUCCAUUUUUUCCCUAUUAAUAGAUGUAAUCAACAGCCUUGUUGGCUAUUUUGCAAUUUUGCCACUAAUGCCAGCAUAUUCUAUUGGCUAUCUUCAAAUUCCCUGCAGAUCAAAUCCCUGUGACCCCUCCUUGCCUGUCAUCAUGGUUAUUGUGGUCUUCUGGUUUCUUGAAGUGAAGUGCCAUCACCAACCCUCUCUUGCUUUGAAGCCUCAUCCUCCUCAGGAGUGUUAAUACACUUGGUCUGUGACUGCCUCACCUGCCCUCAUCCCCGGCUGCAGUGGCCUCCACCAUUGGGCAUUUCAGUGAUGCUGGUGGUCUUCUCAUUAGAUUGUCCUUGAUGAAUAGUGUGCCAUCUGGGCCUCAUGUAGUGCAUCCAUUCCAGCCCGUCACCUCCCUGAGCCUUUUUAUUCCAACACCAGGACACUCAGGCUUUUCUACUUGCUGAGAGUUGGCUGGCAUUUUUUCCAGGUUUCUAAGAGACUGCAGUAAGUUUGCCCCAUCCCUUAGGGUCCUUGCUAGGGUGUUAGUUAAAUCCCAUAUCCUGAGAAAGUGACUUCAAGUCAACAAAAACUUGCUUAUCCAGUUUUAAAGAACCCUUGGAAUCCAAUCUCAGGUGUACUCCCCUGGGUCUGCAGAUAAAUGCAGGUUCAUUUUUUUUCCCUUCUUCCCUCCCUUAUCAGGCCCAGCAUGUCACCAGCUGGGUAAUGCUGGGAUUUAACCUGUGACAGCAGGUGGGGGCACAUGUUCUCUUGUGAAGGGGUGGCUUCUGUAGCAUCCUCCAGCUCAGCAAAAGUGUUAGCUCCUACUAGAGACAGAUGGGCAAUGUCUGCAUGCCCAGAGGGUGGGCGUGGGGAGAAUAGGUGUGGAGAGGUGGCAUAUUCAGAGGCAUCCAUCCAGAUGACCCUGUCCCAGUUCCCAGUCCUGGGUUUGCCCUGCCAGCACCUUGACCUUUGCAUAACAAAUCUGCCUUCAUUGAGGAGUCAAACAUCUCUAGGGCCCUAUGAUUGAAGUUCCUCAGUCAUGUCUGUCUUUCUGUUACUGGUGACCAUGAUCUCUUUAUAUAAGCUACCACUGAGGCACUGUGGUUCUAACUGCUGAGGCUCUCUCUAACCUUCUGCAGGUUGUCAGGUGAUAACAAGUGUUGGCGAGGAUGUGGAGAAAAGGGAGCCCUUGUGCACUGUUGGUGGAAAUGCAAAUUUGUUCAGCCACUAUGGAAAAUAGUAUGGAGGUUUCUCAAAAAAUUAAAAAUAAAACUGCCCUAUGAUCCAGCAAUUCCAUUCUGGUCCUGAGUCUAUAGCCAAAGGAAACGAAAGCAGGAUUUUGAAGAAAUAUAUGCAUUCCCAUGUUUAU